rnacentral:sRNA from 1 species
GGGCUCUUCUGUGUCAGGCGGAGGAGCUACUACUCUGUGCCCAGCUUAGAGAACUGGAAGGGACCGCCACGUUCCGCUGGCUGGAGAAUGGAUGGAGCCUGGAGCCCUGGAGCCUGGGACACUAUCUCGCUGCGGUUGGUGGUGGCGACAGAGUACUAGGAGGGCGGCCGGCAGUGGGAGCUUAUCCUGCCGGCUAGAAAACUAGAAGGAAGAGGCACUGCCACAUGCUGGAAGCUGGAGCCUGAGCAACCGCGGCUCACCUCGCUGUGGUUGGUGGUGACAUCAGAGACUGCAGCUCGGCCACAGUGGUGGAAAUGUGAUGGGUCUCCAAGUAAGGGAUCGUUCUGCUCUUCCCGGACUCCAGACUGUAGAAGGUGAUCUUUCCCUGCUUAUGCUAGAUUGCACGCUGCUCCAAGCCAGGCUGAAGGAGGAGAAGGAGGAGUCGCC